rnacentral:lncRNA from 1 species
GCAGAAAAAUCAAAGCAUUAAAAACAUUAUUAAAAUCCACACAUAAAAUAUAAAAGAACAAUAACUCAAAUAAAAGAAAUAAAGGUCCCAAAUCAGUUACAUUGUUCGCCCUAAAAUUUAAAUUUAUCUAUGCAUAGUGAUAGAAGAAAAACAAGAAAUUGUGGAAGACAUCACCGGGAAUUGAAGGAACGUAAUUAAAUUUUCAAAUUGAUUCUACCGUCUUUUUCCCCUUCGCGUGCCUUUGCCUUUUUUCUGCAACUUUCGAUUUCUGCGUAAAUCUCCCCCUAUUAAUGGCAGGCGACAACGUGUGUAUGCAUGAUUAAUUUUAGCUUCAAUGUUUGACUCUUCAAAGCUGCCCUCCGUUUCCAGCUUCUGUUUUUCUCCAAUUUCAGCCGCAAUACCGUGUUUUUCUCUCUAUCCUAGCCUCCAAAGUGUGUAUAAAAUAUAGUAAGGGAUCCCCCUCAAUUUCCAUGCAUGUCUUUCUUUAUAAUAAA